GAGGGUAUAGCUCAAGUGGUAGAGCACUUGCUUAGCAUGCAUGAGGUCCUGCGUUCAAUCCCCAGUACCUCCU
rnacentral:tRNA from 1 species